rnacentral:rRNA from 1 species
GAUUGUCACCACGCCACUCUGAAAACACACCAUCUGGUUUGAUUUUGGAAGCUAAGCAGAGUCAGGCCAGGUUACUCUUUGGGUGGGAGGCA